rnacentral:rRNA from 1 species
GCUCCUACGGGACGCAGCAGUGGGGAAUAUUGGGCAAUGGGCGCAAGCCUGACCCAGCAACGCCGCGUGAAGGAAGAAGGCUUUCGGGUUGUAAACUUCUUUUAAGGGGGAAGAGCAGAAGACGGUACCCCUUGAAUAAGCCACGGCUAACUACGUGCCAGCAGCCGCGGUAAUACGUAGGUGGCAAGCGUUGUCCGGAUUUACUGGGUGUAAAGGGCGUGCAGCCGGAGAGACAAGUCAGAUGUAAAAUCCACGGGCUCAACCCGUGAACUGCAUUUGAAACUGUUUCUCUUGAGUGUGGGAGA